UCUCUCUAGAGGUUACACAGUAUGCUGCAAAAAAAAAAAAAAACAACAACAUCCAGCAAGCAGCAGUUCUGCAGGUGGAAGCACCUUGAUGAUGAGAGCGGUCAGAGGAGAACAGCCAGCCUGAUUAGAGAUAACACGUUCUUGGAAUGCAAAAAAUGUCCAAAGUUGAGACGGACGGGCUACAAUAACAGAAGAAGCACAACAGAUUCCACUCCUAUCAGCCAAGAACAGGAAUCUGUGGCUACAGCAGGUACAAACUCACCAAAACCAGAUGGAUACUGAACAUGGGACGGCAAUCUGACAAGCUUGAGAAAAGGUAUUUAAAUCUUUUAUAGUAUUUGUGUCAGUUUCUUGUGAAUGAAGCUUCUACAGACCUUAGUGUUGCAGAUGCUGAGGUGAAAAUUAAGCACGAGGGCAUCUUGAGUGUACAGUGUACAUGUAAAAAAGAGUGCUGAAUAAUUUAAGAGCCCUACAUGAAAUUACAACACUUACAGAAAUAUCACAAAAACUUCACAUGUGAAUAAUCACAAGAUGAAUAUGUAAAAUUUAGACAAUAUUUGAUUGUAGUAUUAUAAGGUUAUAAUGCUGAGGUCAUGAUGUCUUUGUUAGACAUGUAGACUAUUUCUUUUUCACAUGUGGUGCAUGUGACUUUAUUUUUCACGUAAUCACUCACACACACACACACACACACACACACACACACACACACACACACACACACACACUCUCUCUCAUCACAUUUCCUUGAAUUCACAUGUUUAAAAACUCACAUGAUCACGUGAAAAGCUUAUGAUGACAUGUGAAAUGUAUGUGGUUUUUCUGUAAGGAGAGAUACACCAAACAAAUCAGACACAAUAAAAUAUGUUUCCAUAUACAGUCCUGUGCAAAAGUCUUAGGCACAUGUAAAGAAAUGCUGUCGACCAAAAAUGGCUUAAAAUAAUGAAAUUAAAUGUUUCAACAUUCAAAAAAAUACUAUAAACAGCAGUAAGCCACAAUAAAUUAAACAAAAUCAAUAUUUGGUGUGAGAUGACCCUUUGCUUUAAAAAAAAAAAAUAGUAGUCUCAGGUACAGUGAGUGCAGUUUUAUAAGGAAAUGAGCUGUAGGUUUUACUGAGCAUCUUACAGAACCAGCCACAGUUCUUCUGGACACUUUGACUGUCAGACUCGCUUCUUAAUUUCGCAGCAAAACCCAGCAGCCUUCAUUAUGUUUUCUUUUUUAAUCUGAAAAGUGCUCUCUUAUGGAAUAUGCUGCUCAGAUACAAACUUUUAUUCUGUAACAUUUAAUUUUGUGCUGGAAAACGAACGUUUGGAACUCUAAAAUGUUUUUGUACCAACUUGAUAAUGUAGAAGUCAUAAAAUAGAAAUCUAUAACAAAGUUUGUAUGGAAAAAAAAUAGGGUGCCUAAGACUUUUGCACAGUACUGUAUCUCCACAUAUAACAUCAAUACAGUUCCAAUGGAAAUUUUGGAAAAGUCACUAUAAAACAUGUUCAGCUGAAAAGAGGCUGGGACAGCAAUUUCAAAUUUAAAAAAUAAUGAAACUCCUAAAAAAUUGCAGUUGAGCUAAAUGUAUUCGUGGAUAUAAAUUCCAUUCAGCUGAAUGUGAUUAGGUGAGUGAACUGGUAACUACAAAAUUGCACAGAAAAUCUUCUUCUCUCUAAAAGGGUUUUCAGAAUUGGGCGCAGGAGAGACGAGCGGAUCUUCUUUGGCGUGAGAUUCACAGUAUGACAUGAGCUCAGCGGCUGCUUUAGACACCUGAAGAAAGGAAAUGUAAACUCAGUUGAGCAAAUAGAUCACAUGCACUCAAUGGUCUUUUUAUUACAUAUGUCUACCUUAUAUCUACACUCAUUAACUAUUUAUCAGGUACAACUAUAUACUGUACAUAUAGAGGACAUUUUGUAGAGAAAAAAACAACUGAUAACAGCCCAGCUGUUGGUAUACAAUAUUUCAGCCACCCUCUGAAUCAUCUAUCGGUAAAAUGGACCACUAUGGGUCCAUCACUAAGCAGAUGUUAUUUAGGUGUUGUAGCAUUCUCAGCAUAGCAGAGACACUAACAGGGUUGUGUAUUUGUGUUCCUGGUGUGACACAGCUUUAAAAAAAAUUAACACAAUUUGUGUAUGAAAGAAGAUUAUACUAGUGAUUUAUUUUUUUAAUGCAAAAAAAUGUAAGUGUUUAACACAAUAUUUAAACCCCAACAACACUGCAGCCCAGCACCACACACACACACACACACACACACACACACAGUGUCAGUGUUACUGUUGUCAUGAAAACGAACUGCCAUCAAAUCUUAUGGUGUUUUUUUUUCCAAGGUAGAGGGGUAUCAAAAAUAUUUACAUAGCAACAGGUGAACUUAACAAAAUGACCUUGUGUAUUGAUAUAUUGCAAAAUGGUGGACAAAUGGUGGUCCCUUUAGGAUUGCAAUGUCAAAAAAAAAACAAUAUCAACAACAACAACAACAAAAUGUUGGACAUUUAAGAAUAUAACAGUCCCAACAUUAUUAAAAUACACUACAGAGACUCAUUUAUAGUGGGCUUCAUCAUAAUUUCACGGACAUUUUGUCAAUAAAUGUGGCUAAGGCUCUCCUACUUUCACAGAAAGAAGGAAUCUGACUGAUACGGUACACAAUCAGCCACAGACGUUUUCCAAAUCCAGUUAGCACAUACGAUUCUCUCAUUUACUCACCACUAACUGCUUUAGUAACAUUUAAGGAUGGAAUCCUGUGAACAUUUUUAAUGUCUCAAGAAAAUGUCUCAUUCUUAUUUAAUGUCUCAUUCGUAUGUCUCAAGAAAAAAAAUGUAUGCCUGUUUGGAGCGCCAAUAAGAUUGCAGCCUUUAGGAUUCUGAAGCUUCUGGCCAGAAAUGUGUACAAAACACAUCAGACACUCAGUGGCUUAUGGGAGGAGCGUCUGAGCCUGAGACUAUCUUCAUUGCAACUUGUGUUUUCCUUAAACAUUUGGCAUUAGCAUUGUUGCAGAGAUUAUUAUUACCUCCGCCAAGGAGGUUAUGUUUUCGGUAGCGUUAGUUUGUUUGUUGGUUGGUUGGUUGGUUGGUUGGUUUGUCUGUUAGCAACAUUACGGAAAAAGUUAUGAACGGAUUGCUCUGAAAUUUUUUCCAGAGGUGUGACUGGGCACAAGUAACAAUCCAUUAAAUUUUGGCGGUGAUCCGGAUCACCUUCUGGAUCCCAGAUUUUUUUAAAGGAUUCUUUAUCAUUGAGAGAUAGGCCCAUUUUUGGAAUUUGUGCAUAUAACUCCAUAACAAAUGACCAGAGUGUUUGGUGAAAAAAAUACCCAAAAGGAUCUCCAUGAGCUCUAUAAAGUAUCAAAGUUUGAUCCGGAUCCAGAAAAAAGUCUGGAUACUAUGAUCCAGAACACACAAAAAUGAGGGGGUCAUUAGAAUUUUUAACGCUGUAAGGUAACAAAUGAAGAUACAGACAUGCAACCAACUCCAAAUUGUAGCCAAGACUCAGCUGAAUCAGUAGUAUGUCAAUGGAUUUGAUGUACACUACCAUUCAAAAGUUUGGGGUCACUUUGAAAUUUCCUUAUUUUUGAAAGAAAAGCACUGUUCUUUUCAAUGAAGAUCACUUUAAACUAAUCAGAAAUACACUCUAUACAUUGCUAAUGUGGUAAAUGAGUAUUCUAGCUAAAUUCUACUAAAUGUCUGUUUCUUGGUGCAAUAUCUACAUAGGUGUAUAGAGGCCCAUUUCCAGCAACUAUCACUCCAGUGUUCUAAUGGUACAAUGUGUUUGCUCAUUGCCUCAGAAGGCUAAUGGAUGAUUAGAAAACCCUUGUGCAAUCAUGUUAGCACAGCUGAAAACAGUUUAGCUCUUUAGAGAAGCUAUAAAACUGACCUUCCUUUGAGCAGAUUGAGUUUCUGGAGCAUCACAUUUGUUGGGUCGAUUAAAUGCUCAAAAUGGCCAGAAAAAUGUCUUGACUAUAUUUUCUAUUCAUUUUACAACUUAUGGUGGCAAAUAAAAGUGUGACUUUUCAUGGAAAACACAAAAUUGUCUGGGUGACCCCAAACUUUUGAACGGUAGUGUAUCUUCAAUAGCUAUGGAGCUAGAUCCAGAAGAAAACCGCCAUCUCACACGUAUGACACAAUAUCUCGUAUGUGAGACUUAGUAUCUCAUUUUAGGUGCAAGUCUCAAUAUGUGGUGAAAUGAGCUGCUUGGAGGAGGUCUGCGCUCUCCGAGUGGUUUUCUAGUUCUAAAUGAAAAUUUUCUGCUUUAAAUCUUUUCUGAAUAUGCAGUCUUUUGAAACAGCAACUCUUCAAGACAUAACAGUGGAACAAAAGGUAUUUCAGAUAAUUAACAGCCUUACAACACAAAGACACACUUCGAUCCAUAUGUAAGCACAAGUCAGAAGAAAACAGAAAUAGGAGUAAGGUGUCUAGGUGGUGUCUGAGGUAUAUUAUUAGUCUCUCACCAUCAUCCUGUCGAUGUUAACUUCCAGCUUUAACUGUUCGACUGUCUUCCGAGCAUCUGCAAUCUUGGCCAUGUUGUUGGACAUUCUGCUUAGCGCACUUCUUAACCAAACUCGAUUCUAACCAGGUUGUUCAGCUUAGUCCUAUGGUCAGGUAUUACAGGAAUACUGUAAGUUUAAGGCAAAAAAAAAAUUCUCUGGUCAUAUUUAUAAUUUUUGUGAUUUGUUCCAGAAUGUAUCCUGAGCAUGCAGUUCAGGAAAAGAAAGGCAUCGAAUCUCAAAACACAAUGCAUUCAAAUCUUAAUAGCCUUUUUUUUGGAGCUAAUCUAUUUAAUUUUCACCUGUUGCUUUCUAACUGUUCUUUUUUCCCUCCUCUCAUUAGAGGCUGGGGUGAGGUGGAGCAGCAGUAAUUGUUUUGUUGAGGCUGUCUGAGUCUCAGCUGGUCGUACCCAGCAUGAGGCUCAGUGGGAGAAGACAAACACAAGUACAGAUAUCCUCAUGAGGCUGCCAAUAAGCUGCUCAGCGUCCCAUGUCUACGACGACUUCCCUUCAGUAACCUUUUAUAUUAAUUGUAGCUUAAGCUGAGUUGAAUUAUUAAAACCAUACUGGUGCCUGAGAUUUCAGGAGAAAAUGGGGUGAAAUAAAUGCAAUGAAAUGGAACUAAAACUUAAUAAAUUCAUUUCUGUAUAAUCACAAA